rnacentral:rRNA from 1 species
GUACGAGCGCAACCCUUGUCCUUAGUUACCAGCACGUUAUGGUGGGCACUCUAAGGAGGACUGCCGGUGACAAACCGGAGGAAGUGGGGAUGACGUCAAGUCAUCAUGGCCCUUACGGCCUGGGCUACACACGUGCUACAAUGGUCGGUACAAAGGGUUGCCAAGCCGCGAGGUGGAGCUAAUCCCAUAAAACCGAUCGUAGUCCGGAUCGCAGUCUGCAACUCGACUGCGUGAAGUCGGAAUCGCUAGUAAUCGUGAAUCAGAAUGUCACGGUGAAUACGUUCCCGGGCCUU